UCUCUCAAAAUCACUAACGUGCUGAGGAGAAGAGGAAAGGACAUGAGAAAUUUAUUGUGAAACCUGCAUAUAUUCUUGGUGAAAUGAGAGACCAUGUAUUUCAUUUUUGGCUUGUGUACUGUUUUGUGUUAGUUAAGUUUCAUUUCUCAUUUUAUGGACUUGAGAUGGAGCAAUGAAACCAGGCAGGGUCACCUCCCACAGAGAAGUGCCAAUGGUUUUCAUGCAUAAGACUUUGGUUUCAGCUGUCUCAUUUGGGGGCUUUAACUUCAGAGAUGUCCUCUCAGGAGGAGUCUGCAGGUUCCAUGGUCUCCAGCCCCCUAGAAGGCACCUCACACAUCACUUCUCCCUGAACAUUCCUGUGUGAGUCCGGGUGUCACGACAGCAAUGCUGACAAUGGACAUUGUGACAGGGAGCGCUGAUGAGCUGGAGAACAGUAGCAGGUUCCAUCACAAUUCUGAGCCAACUAUCCCACUGAACGACAGACCUCUCCAGUGCCACCUGCAUCUGUCUUUGGACUGGUUUACCUCUUCAGAGGACCCAAAUCCCUAACACAUGCUCAUACUUCAUAUUCUAUGUAAAGUUUAAUUAAGUAAAUACAUCUGUUAGAAAAAAUAUGUGAAAAGAUGAUCUGAGAGCAGGUGAGCCAUCAACUGAAAUCUCUGAUAGCAGCAGGAGAGGUGCCCAAAUCAGUUCUAGCUGGAGAAAGCAGGCUGCAAAAACAGAGAAUUGUGAGCUUUUUCCUCCACACGUGAAACUGAAAGAAAAAUCACAAUUUUUUAAAAAAUGCAAAACAACAGCUUAUUCUGUGCUUACUGCAGCUUAUUACCGAGCAGUUGCAAUAAAUCAUCAUCCAGCUUGGCUGCUCAGCUCAGCUCUCCUCUAGCGGCAUGAAGUCGGAGGGAAAGAUGCAGCAUUCCUGGGAUUUGUCAUGAGGAGGGCAUUAACGAACAGCUUAUUCAGAAGGCUGUAAAACCAGCUUGACAAGACCUGAGAAUUCUGUGAAAAAUGCAAUUUCUGGUGACUGUCAACCCCUCUGACCAUUUGGAUUAAAGUUUCAACAUUCUAUUCUUCCCACAAAGAAAAAUAAAACCGAGAAAAAAAAGCCACUUAGCAUCUGAAUUCCCAUGGAUGAAGAUUUUUGUCCCCCUCAGGUACCUCAAAUCUGUUCAAACAAACUGCAGAACAUGUCAAAGUAUCCUGUACUAAACGUUCCCGGGAAUCACACUUAUAAAAUCAAUCAUUUGUACACUACUGAUAAAAAGCUAGGAAGAACAGCAUAUCUAAAAUACACACAUAUACAUACGAGCGUCUACUUUUGAGAAGGUAAUUUAAAAAAAUGAUUUGAAUUCCCAAAACAUUAUCUCAAAAUCAAAAUAAUAUUUUCAUCCCAAAGGCAACAUUUAUUCAGCACUUCCUCAAGAAAGCAGGUGGUUUAAUUAUUUAUUUAUUUAGGUUUAUUUUGCUUUAUAACAUUUUUUUCUCUCUUUUGAAAAAAAAAAUGUUGUAAAUCUUUUUGAACUAAAUGAUUUACUGGAUAAGCUCAGACUUCAAAUAACAAAUUUUUUGUGC